GGUAGCAUAAUCAUUAGUCUCCUAAUUAGAGGCUUGUAUGAAUGGUCGGACAAGAUAGGGACUGUCUCAACGUAAAAAAUAAAAUUUAAUUAUUAAGUAAAAAAGCUUAAAUAAUGCAGAGUGACGAUAAGACCCUAUAAAGCUUUAUAAUAAAUUUUUCUUAUAUAAAUUAAGGGUUUAUUAUCAUAUUAGAAAAAUAUUAUUAUUUUACUGGGGCGGUAAAAGUAUAUUCUGAUUAACUGCUUUUAUUUUGUAAUACAAUUAUAGUUGGUAAUUAAUUGAUCCAUUAAUAAUGAUUAUAAGACCAAGUUACUUUAGGGAUAACAGCGUAAUUUUUUUUGAGAGUCCUCAUCGAAAAAAAAGUUUGCGACCUCGAUGUUGAAUUAAGGAUUACCUUAUGGUGCAGCAGUUUUAAAGGUAGAUCUGUUCGAUCUUUAAAUCUUUACAUGAUUUG
rnacentral:rRNA from 1 species